UCAGGACGAACGCUGGCGGCGUGCUUAACACAUGCAAGUCGAACGGUAAGGCCCUUUCGGGGGUACACGAGUGGCGAACGGGUGAGUAACACGUGGGUAAUCUGCCCUGCACUUCGGGAUAAGCCUGGGAAACCGGGUCUAAUACCGGAUAUGAGCUCCUGCCGCAUGGUGGGGGUUGGAAAGUUUUUCGGUGCAGGAUGAGUCCGCGGCCUAUCAGCUUGUUGGUGGGGUAAUGGCCUACCAAGGCGACGACGGGUAGCCGGCCUGAGAGGGUGAUCGGCCACACUGGGACUGAGACACGGCCCAGACUCCUACGGGAGGCAGCAGUGGGGAAUAUUGCACAAUGGGCGAAAGCCUGAUGCAGCGACGCCGCGUGGGGGAUGACGGUCUUCGGAUUGUAAACUCCUUUCAGUAGGGACGAAGCGAAAGUGACGGUACCUGCAGAAGAAGCACCGGCCAACUACGUGCCAGCAGCCGCGGUAAUACGUAGGGUGCAAGCGUUGUCCGGAAUUACUGGGCGUAAAGAGCUCGUAGGCGGUUUGUCACGUCGUCUGUGAAAUCCUCCAGCUCAACUGGGGGCGUGCAGGCGAUACGGGCAGACUUGAGUACUACAGGGGAGACUGGAAUUCCUGGUGUAGCGGUGAAAUGCGCAGAUAUCAGGAGGAACACCGGUGGCGAAGGCGGGUCUCUGGGUAGUAACUGACGCUGAGGAGCGAAAGCAUGGGGAGCAAACAGGAUUAGAUACCCUGGUAGUCCAUGCCGU
rnacentral:rRNA from 1 species